rnacentral:rRNA from 1 species
GGAGUCUGGGCCGUGUCUCAGUCCCAAUGUGGCCGUUCAACCUCUCAGUCCGGCUACCGAUCGCGGUCUUGGUGAGCCGUUACCUCACCAACUAACUAAUCGGACGCGAGUCCAUCUCUGAGCGAUAAAAUCUUUGACAUAUCUGUCAUGCGGCAAAUAUGUGUUAUGCGGUAUUAGCGUUCUUUUCAGAACGUUAUUCCCCUCUCAGAGGCAGGUUACUCACGCGUUACUCACCCGUCCGCCACUAAGUUGAGGAGCAAGCCCCUCAACUCCGUUCGACUUGCAUGUGUUAGGCACGCCGCCAGCGUUCGUCCUCGAGCCAUGAUCAAACUACU